rnacentral:rRNA from 1 species
UACAGAGGGGGCAAGCGUUGUUCGGAAUUACUGGGCGUAAAGGGCGCGUAGGCGGCCUUCUAAGUCGAACGUGAAAUCCCUGGGCUCAACCCAGGAACUGCGUCCGAUACUGAAAGGCUUGAAUCCGGGAGAGGGAUGCGGAAUUCCAGGUGUAGCGGUGAAAUGCGUAGAUAUCGGAAGGAACAUCAGUGGCGAAAGCGACUUCCUGGACCAGUACCGACGUUCAGGCACGAAAGCGUGGGGAGCAAACAGG